rfam:Glycine max cultivar Williams 82 chromosome 10, whole genome shotgun sequence.
AAGCAUUUGGUCCAGUGGUAUGAUUCUGGUUUAAAGUAGCAGAGGUCCCGAGUUUAAUUCUCGGAAUGCCCA